rnacentral:rRNA from 1 species
UACGGGAGGCAGCAGUGGGGAAUAUUGCACAAUGGGCGCAAGCCUGAUGCAGCCAUGCCGCGUGUAUGAAGAAGGCCUUCGGGUUGUAAAGUACUUUCAGUCGUGAGGAAGGUGUUAAGGUUAAUAACCUUAGCAAUUGACGUUAGCGACAGAAGAAGCACCGGCUAACUCCGUGCCAGCAGCCGCGGUAAUACGGAGGGUGCGAGCGUUAAUCGGAAUUACUGGGCGUAAAGGGCACGCAGGCGGUUAAUUAAGUUGGAUGUGAAAUCCCCGGGCUUAACCUGGGAAUGGCAUUCAAGACUGGUUAGCUAGAGUCUUGUAGAGGGGGUUAGAAUUCCAUGUGUAGCGGUGAAAUGCGUAGAGAUGUGGAGGAAUACCGGUGGCGAAGGCGGCCCCUGGACAAAGACUGACGCUCAUGUGCGAAAGCGUGGGGAGCAA